UGGGGAAUAUUGCGCAAUGGGGGGAACCCUGACGCAGCCAUGCCGCGUGAAUGAAGAAGGCCUUCGGGUUGUAAAGUUCUUUCGGUAUUGAGGAAGGUUGAUGUGUUAAUAGCACAUCAAAUUGACGUUAAAUACAGAAGAAGCACCGGCUAACUCCGUGCCAGCAGCCGCGGUAAUACGGAGGGUGCGAGCGUUAAUCGGAAUAACUGGGCGUAAAGGGCACGCAGGCGGUUAUUUAAGUGAGGUGUGAAAGCCCCGGGCUUAACCUGGGAAUUGCAUUUCAGACUGGGUAACUAGAGUACUUUAGGGAGGGGUAGAAUUCCACGUGUAGCGGUGAAAUGCGUAGAGAUGUGGAGGAAUACCGAAGGCGAAGGCAGCCCCUUGGGAAUGUACUGACGCUCAUGUGCGAAAGCGUGGGGAGCAAACAGGAUUAGAUACCCUGGUAGUCCACGCUGUAAACGCUGUCGAUUUGGGGGUUGGGGUUUAACUCUGGCGCCCGUAGCUAACGUGAUAAAUCGACCGCCUGGGGAGUACGGCCGCAAGGUUA
rnacentral:rRNA from 1 species